rnacentral:rRNA from 1 species
UCUUAGCUUGCUAAGGCUGAUGGCGACCGGCGCACGGGUGAGUAACACGUAUCCAACCUGCCGUCUACUCUUGGCCAGCCUUCUGAAAGGAAGAUUAAUACAAGAUGGCAUCAUGAGUCCGCAUGUUCACAUGAUUAAAGGUAUUCCGGUAGACGAUGGGGAUGCGUUCCAUUAGAUAGUAGGCGGGGUAACGGCCCACCAAACCGACGAUGGAUAGGGGUUCUGAGAGGAAGGUCCCCACACUGGAACUGAGACACGGUCCAGACUCC